CAACUUCAACUGGGAGAAGAUCUGUUCAUUCUUCAAAACAGCCAUGGAAAACAGCCUGCUCUGUGGUGUGGCCCUUUGUUUCUGGGGAAUGAUCACAGAUCUUGUGGACAUGAAAGUAACCCAGACCCCAAGAUACCUGGCCAAAAGAGUAGGAGAGAAAGUUUUGUUGGAAUGUUCACAGGAUAUGGGACACGAAAGAAUGUACUGGUAUCGACAAGACCCAGAUCUGGCACUACAACUGAUUCAUUUCUCAUAUGAUGUUGACAAUAAUGAAAAAGAAGAUAUCCCUCAGGGGUACAAUGUCUCUCGGAAGAAGAGGGAGCACUUCUCCUUGAUUGUGGAGUCUGCCAGCACCAAGCAUACAUCUCUGUACCUCUGUGCCAGCAGUUUAUCCACAGCCCUGCACAGCCACAUCCUCUUUGCACAAAAAAGAGCAGAUACAGGAGGGAAGCAACUUUAA